UCUUCUCUAUUUACUUCCUUGCAUUAUGAAAAAUAAAAGUUUUAUUAAACUUUCUCGAUUAUUGAAAACUUUAUGGGAGAGAAUAAAUAUGAUACUUUCUCACGAGUUAUGGGUCGAUACAGUAAAUGCUUUUAGAAAAUGUAAAAAAAGGCUUCACGGACCUCUCGAGACAUUUACGCAUGACUCUCUGACACGUGACCCUGUUCUUAUUACACGUGUUCCAAAGGCCGUUUAUCGGGAUCCUUUUCUUCUGGAUAUUCUGCUGCGGAUAUUGAAUGCCUAUUUGAUAGCAUCAUCCAAUUUACAUGUUUACCUGUUAAGUUUUGAAACAAACGCAAACUCUGAAUUGCACGCCAAUGCGUCUGUCUCCAUUCGUUAUCUGUGCGAAUCUAGCAUAGUUCAACUAUUAUUUGAAAAGUGCUUGGACGAUAACAAUCAAUGGCUAUGCCGCACGCGCACAAGUGUCUGUCAUUUUGUUCACAAUUUAUUUAUACAGAACCCGAUUAUUAUAAAACUGGUUCAUUUUCAGACUUACGAUAUUCGGUUAUUGGAUACAACUGUUCAAGGCAUCCCCUCCAUGCACCUCUGCAUAGACUAUUUAGCUGAGCUUUAUGCUCAGGAUUCUCCUCAAAUAAAGAUAUUCUGCUUACAUUUGGCCAGUAAACUUUCCCUACAAUACCCAUUACCCAAAACUCUAAAAGUUAUGAAAGUUUUGCUUUCGAAACUCAGCACGCCUCCUCUUGAUACAUCGGAAAACUUUAUUUGCCAAGCGCUCCCCGCUUUGGUUUUGCUUUCUACUGCAUUUCCCGAUCUUUUGGAGGACGUAGUUGCAUACCUUUUGCAAUUGUCAUCCCUCUAUUCAAACUCUGAAAAUGAAUUGCAAAGUGAAAAAGAUCUUCACAUAAAAUCUGUUAUUAAGGAA